rnacentral:lncRNA from 1 species
GUAAUUAGGGCACCAAUAUAGAUGAAUGGAGAUGAAUGAUGGAAAUCUCCAUUCUUAUUGGUCAAAUAUCUUGACCAAUAGGCUUUGAGGAGGCUGCCCGUGGCCAUAUUAGGGAUUAAGGUUAGUUUUUCGGAGCCAUUUGAGUUUUGAAGGCUAAGAUCAGCAAUUUUAGGUUUUUUUCUAUGGUUUUGGUGGAAUUUUUGUAUGGUUUGGAGUUUAUAUGAAGGAGAUACAAGCCCUCAAAGUUAAGAUGUUGAUUUGGAAGCUAAUGUCUUUCUUUUUGGCAUAACGCAAGCGUACGGAUAGCAAUUGAGGAUCAGUGACUAUGACUAGAGAUAGCACUUUUGCGGCUACACUUUUUGUAUACUUUUUGCUAGAUUCGAAGUUGGAAUGAAGGAGUUAUUGGAUUUUGAAGUCAGUGCAUGUAGUCUAAGGAUAGUAAGUGGCCCGAUUUACUAGUGGUUGUGUCUUAAGCUAUAUCUUGAGCAAUUUGACAAGGUUUUGGCUCAAAAUUUCAGAAAAUGUGAAAUUUCAUGUAAUUAAACUUUAUGUAUAAGUAUUAUGACAUUUAAGUAUUGGUUUCUUGAGAUAUCAAGAAAAUAGUAUUCGGGUGCUUGUAAAUUAGGAUUUAAAGUGUCUGCUAGGAUU